rnacentral:rRNA from 1 species
AUUGAACGCUGGCGGCAGGCCUAACACAUGCAAGUCGAACGAGUGGCGGACGGGUGAGUAAUGUCUGGGAAACUGCCUGAUGGAGGGGGAUAACUACUGGAAACGGUAGCUAAUACCGCAUACCAUCAGAUGUGCCCAGAUGGGAUUAGCUUGUUGGUGGGGUAACGGCUCACCAAGGAGACGAUCCUUAGCUGGUCUGAGAGGAUGACCAGCAACACCGGAACGGCGAACGGGUGCAGAAUCCUACGGGAGGCAGGCGUGGGGAUUAUCGCACAAAGGGUGCAAGCCUGCUGCAGCCACGCCGCGUGUAUGAAGAAGGCCCUCGGGUUGGAAAGUACCUUCAGCGGGGCGACGUUACACGCAGAAGAAGCACCGGCUAACUCCGUGCCAGCAGCCGCGGUAAUUC